UGUUCUGUUUUUCCCCUGUUUGUCCGUACAUCCGUCUAUCCUUUUGUAUCAUAAAAUUUUCGUCGUAUUUUAUAAGGCAUAAUAAAAUCAGACCUUCCUGAAAUUUGUGAUAUAGCUUCAUGUCACCAUGCUAUACCAUGUGUCCUUUCGAUUGAUGUGUUUGAGCUUUUGAUUUUUAUAUUUGAUUAGGGACUUUCAAUUUUGUUUUUCCUUGGGGUUCAGUAUUUUUGUGAUUUUUACUUUAUUCAAUUCUAUCGUCCAAAAGUACACGAUUGUUAUAUGAGAAAAUAACCUUCUCUACCUUCUAUUAUACAGGUUGAUAGUCCAGGAUUGGUCGUAAAUAUUGUGUGCUAGUCAGAGACAGACAAUUAAUUUAUCACAAUACACAUUGAUAAUAAAUGAAUUACGUGUAUUUAUUAUCUGAAUAAAAUGCACUUGACUUUUGCAAGUGGCUACUCCCAAUUGAGAGUUUUGUAUUAUAUUGAUAAAUGCUUUAUGUUCGGUUGAGGUUACGAAUUAGAACAUAAUGAUGCUAACAAUGUUGUACGUUUCAUUACAGAUGGCCGUGGUCAUUGUUUUACAUUAAAGACUUGUAUGAACAAGUGAACUGUGAGCUACUGCUGUGAGCAUCCGCCCGAAAUAUUUCGAUAAACAUUUCGGGCGGAUGCUCACAGCAGUAGGGAAGUUGUUGAGUAUUGAAACUGAAAACGCAUCACACGGUAUAGCUGACUUAUAUAAACCCUGAAACCAAAUUUUAGAAAUCCUUACAUCUUAGUUCCUGAGAAAAUGUGACGAAAAUAUUCAUUGGACGGACGGACUGACGGAUGGACAAACAAGGGUAAAACAGUAUAUCCACCACUUGUUUUAAAGCGGGGUAUAAUAAAUAGACUUGGUUCUUUCUUAUUUGCUACACUAUUUUAAUAUUUGAGGGAAAGGGUUAAAAUUGAAAUAUCAUUGAAGGUAUUAAGUUUCUGCACCAGAUGUUAAUUUUGACACUAAUCUUACUUCGGUGAUGGUUUUAGGCCAAAAUAUUUAAAAAAAAUCAGCAAAAAUUAAAAUAAGGAAGACCUUAU
rnacentral:lncRNA from 1 species